rnacentral:rRNA from 1 species
AGAGUUUGAUUCUGGCUCAGGACGAACGCUGGCGGUGCGCUUAAUGCAUGCAAGUCGAACGAGAACGGCGGCUUCGGUCGCCAAGUAAAGUGGCAGACGGCUGAGUAACACGUAAGUAACCAACCCCGGAGCGGGGAAUAAUCAUGAGAAAUCGUGCCUAAUACCCCGUACGUCCCAACAGGCGUUGCCGUUGGGGGAAAGGCUUCGGUCGCUCUGGGACGGGCUUGCGGCCUAUCAGGUAGUUGGUGGGGUAAAGGCCCACCAAGCCAUAGACGGGUACCCGGUGUGAGAGCACGAACGGGCAGAGGGGGACUGAGACACGGCCCCCACUCCUACGGGAGGCAGCAGCAGGGAAUCUUGCGCAAUGGGCGAAAGCCUGACGCAGCGACACCGCGUGGAGGAAGAAGGCUUUCGGGUCGUAAACUCCUUUUCUCGGGGAAGAGAACGGACG